rnacentral:rRNA from 1 species
GAUGAAUGCUGGCGGCGUGCCUAACACAUGCAAGUCGAGCGGCAGCGAGGGGUGCUUGCACCCUGUCGGCGAGCGGCGAACGGCUGAGUAACGCGUAGGAAUUUUCCCCAAAGUGAGGAAUAACUGCCCGAAAGGGUAGCUAAUGCCGCAUAUGGUCUUCGGAUUAAAGGAUUUAUCCGCUUUGGGAGCAGCCUGCGUUGGAUUAGGUUGUUGGUAGGGUAAUGGCCUACCAAGCCGACGAUCCAUAGCUGGUCUGAGAGGAUGAUCAGCCAGACUGGAACUGAGACACGGUCCAGACUCCUACGGGAGGCAGCAGUGAGGAAUCUUCCACAAUGGGCGAAAGCCUGAUGGAGCAACGCCGCGUGAAGGAUGAAGGCCUUCGGGUUGUAAACUUCUUUUAUGAGUGAAGAAUAUGACGGUAACUCAUGAAUAAGCACCGGCUAACUACGUG